rfam:Homo sapiens chromosome 3, GRCh38 reference primary assembly.
GCCGGAUGUGGUGGUGGGUGCCUGUAAUCCCAGCUACUCGGGAGGCUGAGGCAGGAGAAUUGCUUGCCCCUGGGAGGUGGAGUGGCAGUGAGCUGAGAUCGCGCCACUGCACUCCAGCCUGGGGGACAGAGUAAGACUCUGUCUCAA